rnacentral:lncRNA from 1 species
AUGCCAGGCUUUAGAUUUGUGCUUCUACCUCUGCUGAUGACUCACUGCCUGAUGCUACAGCACACCUCUACUGCUGCCAUACCUAGCAGGGAACUCGACUGGCUGGACUGGGAGCUUUUUUCCCACCUGUUUGAUCACUUUGACACAAGUGACCUUUCAGCUGGAGACGAGGGCGACAUGGACCGGGUUACGAACCAUCAUCCUUCUCAUCUGGACACACUCAUCACUCCAUCAGAUGUUAUCGUCCAGACGCAAAAGGAAUUUAACAGUAAAGCCAACGAAAAGAAGAGGAAGGUGGCUCCUUUGGACUCUAUUGGCAGCUUUCAAAUGGCCACGCUGAGAAACGGAAAACAGCAGCGAUC